CCUACCUGUGGCUGCAGUGGGGAAUAUUGGACAAUGGGCGAAAGCCUGAUCCAGCCAUGCCGCGUGUGUGAAGAAGGCCUUCGGGUUGUAAAGCACUUUCAGUGGGGAAGAAAGCCUUGGGGCUAAUACCCUCGAGGAAGGACAUCACCCACAGAAGAAGCACCGGCUAACUCCGUGCCAGCAGCCGCGGUAAUACGGAGGGUGCGAGCGUUAAUCGGAAUUACUGGGCGUAAAGCGCGCGUAGGCGGUCUGAUAAGCCGGUUGUGAAAGCCCCGGGCUCAACCUGGGAACGGCAUCCGGAACUGUCAGGCUAGAGUGCAGGAGAGGAAGGUAGAAUUCCCGGUGUAGCGGUGAAAUGCGUAGAGAUCGGGAGGAAUACCAGUGGCGAAGGCGGCCUUCUGGACUGACACUGACGCUGAGGUGCGAAAGCGUGGGUAGCAAACAGGAUUAGAUACCCGUGUAGUC
rnacentral:rRNA from 1 species